UUCGACACACUAUCAUUAACUGAAUCCAUAGGUUAAUGAGGCGAACCGGGGGAACUGAAACAUCUAAGUACCCCGAGGAAAAGAAAUCAACCGAGAUUCCCCCAGUAGCGGCGAGCGAACGGGGAGGAGCCCAGAGCCUGAAUCAGUGUGUGUGUUAGUGGAAGCGUCUGGAAAGGCGCGCGAUACAGGGUGACAGCCCCGUACACAAAAAUGCACAUACUGUGAGCUCGAUGAGUAGGGCGGGACACGUGGUAUCCUGUCUGAAUAUGGGGGGACCAUCCUCCAAGGCUAAAUACUCCUGACUGACCGAUAGUGAACCAGUACCGUGAGGGAAAGGCGAAAAGAACCCCGGCGAGGGGAGUGAAAAAGAACCUGAAACCGUGUACGUACAAGCAGUGGGAGCCUCUUAAUGGGGUGACUGCGUACCUUUUGUAUAAUGGGUCAGCGACUUAUAUUCUGUAGCAAGGUUAACCGAAUAGGGGAGCCGAAGGGAAACCGAGUCUUAACUGGGCGUUAAGUUGCAGGGUAUAGACCCGAAACCCGGUGAUCUAGCCAUGGGCAGGUUGAAGGUUGGGUAACACUAACUGGAGGACCGAACCGACUAAUGUUGAAAAAUUAGCGGAUGACUUGUGGCUGGGGGUGAAAGGCCAAUCAAACCGGGAGAUAGCUGGUUCUCCCCGAAAGCUAUUUAGGUAGCGCCUCGUGAAUUCAUCUCCGGGGGUAGAGCACUGUUUCGGCAAGGGGGUCAUCCCGACUUACCAACCCGAUGCAAACUGCGAAUACCGGAGAAUGUUAUCACGGGAGACACACGGCGGGUGCUAACGUCCGUCGUGAAGAGGGAAACAACCCAGACCGCCAGCUAAGGUCCCAAAGUCAUGGUUAAGUGGGAAACGAUGUGGGAAGGCCCAGACAGCCAGGAUGUUGGCUUAGAAGCAGCCAUCAUUUAAAGAAAGCGUAAUAGCUCACUGGUCGAGUCGGCCUGCGCGGAAGAUGUAACGGGGCUAAACCAUGCACCGAAGCUGCGGCAGCGACACUAUGUGUUGUUGGGUAGGGGAGCGUUCUGUAAGCCUGUGAAGGUGUACUGUGAGGUAUGCUGGAGGUAUCAGAAGUGCGAAUGCUGACAUAAGUAACGAUAAAGCGGGUGAAAAGCCCGCUCGCCGGAAGACCAAGGGUUCCUGUCCAACGUUAAUCGGGGCAGGGUGAGUCGACCCCUAAGGCGAGGCCGAAAGGCGUAGUCGAUGGGAAACAGGUUAAUAUUCCUGUACUUGGUGUUACUGCGAAGGGGGGACGGAGAAGGCUAUGUUGGCCGGGCGACGGUUGUCCCGGUUUAAGCGUGUAGGCUGGUUUUCCAGGCAAAUCCGGAAAAUCAAGGCUGAGGCGUGAUGACGAGGCACUACGGUGCUGAAGCGACAAAUGCCCUGCUUCCAGGAAAAGCCUCUAAGCAUCAGGUAACAUCAAAUCGUACCCCAAACCGACACAGGUGGUCAGGUAGAGAAUACCAAGGCGCUUGAGAGAACUCGGGUGAAGGAACUAGGCAAAAUGGUGCCGUAACUUCGGGAGAAGGCACGCUGAUAUGUAGGUGAAGCGACUUGCUCGUGGAGCUGAAAUCAGUCGAAGAUACCAGCUGGCUGCAACUGUUUAUUAAAAACACAGCACUGUGCAAACACGAAAGUGGACGUAUACGGUGUGACGCCUGCCCGGUGCCGGAAGGUUAAUUGAUGGGGUUAGCGGUAACGCGAAGCUCUUGAUCGAAGCCCCGGUAAACGGCGGCCGUAACUAUAACGGUCCUAAGGUAGCGAAAUUCCUUGUCGGGUAAGUUCCGACCUGCACGAAUGGCGUAAUGAUGGCCAGGCUGUCUCCACCCGAGACUCAGUGAAAUUGAACUCGCUGUGAAGAUGCAGUGUACCCGCGGCAAGACGGAAAGACCCCGUGAACCUUUACUAUAGCUUGACACUGAACAUUGAGCCUUGAUGUGUAGGAUAGGUGGGAGGCUUUGAAGUGUGGACGCCAGUCUGCAUGGAGCCGACCUUGAAAUACCACCCUUUAAUGUUUGAUGUUCUAACGUGGGCCCCUUACCGGGGUUGCGGACAGUGUCUGGUGGGUAGUUUGACUGGGGCGGUCUCCUCCUAAAGAGUAACGGAGGAGCACGAAGGUUGGCUAAUCCUGGUCGGACAUCAGGAGGUUAGUGCAAUGGCAUAAGCCAGCUUGACUGCGAGCGUGACGGCGCGAGCAGGUGCGAAAGCAGGUCAUAGUGAUCCGGUGGUUCUGAAUGGAAGGGCCAUCGCUCAACGGAUAAAAGGUACUCCGGGGAUAACAGGCUGAUACCGCCCAAGAGUUCAUAUCGACGGCGGUGUUUGGCACCUCGAUGUCGGCUCAUCACAUCCUGGGGCUGAAGUAGGUCCCAAGGGUAUGGCUGUUCGCCAUUUAAAGUGGUACGCGAGCUGGGUUUAGAACGUCGUGAGACAGUUCGGUCCCUAUCUGCCGUGGGCGCUGGAGAACUGAGGGGGGCUGCUCCUAGUACGAGAGGACCGGAGUGGACGCAUCACUGGUGUUCGGGUUGUCAUGCCAAUGGCACUGCCCGGUAGCUAAAUGCGGAAGAGAUAAGUGCUGAAAGCAUCUAAGCACGAAACUUGCCCCGAGAUGAGUUCUCCCUGACUCCUUGAGAGUCCUGAAGGAACGUUGAAGACGACGACGUUGAUAGGCCGGGUGUGUAAGCGCAGCGAUGCGUUGAGCUAACCGGUACUAAUGAACCGUGAGGCUUAACCUUACAACGCCGAAG
rnacentral:rRNA from 1 species